rnacentral:rRNA from 1 species
GACGAACGCUGGCGGCGUGCUUAACACAUGCAAGUCGAACGAAGUGGCGAACGGGUGAGUAAUACGUGGGUAACCUGCCCUCCUUUUUGGGAUAAGCCUUGGAAACGGGGUCUAAUACCGAAUAAAGGGGGAUGGGCUCGCGGCCUAUCAGCGUGUUGGUGGGGUAAUGGCCUACCAAGGCGGUGACGGGUAGCCGGCCUUAGAGGGUGACUGGCCACAAGAGGACGGAGAGACGGCCCAGGGUGCUACGAGAGGCGGCAGUGGCGGAAAGUGCACAAGGGGCGAGGAGCAAAUGCAGGGGCGCCACGUGGGGGUUGAAGGCGUUCGGGUUGUAAACCUCGUACGCUAUCGAACGGGUAGCUGGAGAGAAAGCGCCGGCUAACUACGUGCCAGCAGCCGCGGUAAUUC